GCAGAGUAGGUGUAAGUGCGUUAAGUGCUAGUUGGACGGGAAGUUGCCACUAGACGAAAAGCUUUUGCUUGCGGUACUUACACCGCAUUCCGCUGC
rnacentral:ncRNA from 1 species